AUUCUUGUAGUGUAGUGGUUCUCACGUGCGCCUGACAAGCGAAAAGUCCCAGGUUCAUAACCAGGCAGAGACA